rnacentral:ncRNA from 1 species
CAGGGUGCCUCUCUUUUAAAAUAUGAAGAGGAGAAUAGGAAAUUACGUGCAAAUCGUGAGCUGUCGCGCAACUGUAAAUCACUGCGAAUUUUUCUGUUUGUUUAAUCCACUGUCUUUCGUAGAUGGGAAGGAAAACAGAAAUAGUGAAAGCCAGGAGACCUGCCCUUUUC